rnacentral:rRNA from 1 species
UUCCAGACUCCUACGGGAGGCAGCAGUGGGGAAUAUUGCACAAUGGGGGGAACCCUGAUGCAGCGACGCCGCGUGGGUGAAGAAGUCAUUCGUGACGUAAAGCCCUAUCAGCAGGGAAGAAAAUGACGGUACCUGACUAAGAAGCCCCGGCUAACUACGUGCCAGCAGCCGCGGUAAUACGUAGGGGGCAAGCGUUAUCCGGAUUUACUGGGUGUAAAGGGAGCGUAGGCGGCCCUGUAAGUCUGAUGUGAAAAUUUGGGGCUCAACCCCAAACGUGCAUUGGAAACUGCAGGGCUUGAGUGCCGGAGAGGCAGGCGGAAUUCCUAGUGUAGCGGUGAAAUGCGUAGAUAUUAGGAGGAACACCAGUGGCGAAGGCGGCCUGCUGGACGGUAACUGACGCUGAGGCUCGAAAGCGUGGGGAGCAAACAGGAUUAGAUACCCGGGUAG